UACAGAGGUCCCGAGCGUUGUUCGGAUUCAUUGGGCGUAAAGGGUGCGUAGGCGGCGGGGCAAGUCUGAUGUGAAAUCCCCGGGGCUCAACCCCGGAACUGCAUUGGAUACUGCCUUGCUUGAGUACUGGAGAGGGAACUGGAAUUACGGUGUAGCAGUGAAAUGCGUAGAUAUCGAUAAGGAAGGCCAGUGGCGAAGGCGAGUUCCUGGACAGUUACUGACGCUGAGGCACGAAGGCCAGGGGAGCAAACGGG
rnacentral:rRNA from 1 species